UUGUUUUGGCACCAAAGCUGAAGGUACUAAAACUGUUGCAUGUUAACAAUUUGUUGUUAUAACUUGAAAACUGGGAACUGCAAAAUGUUGACUUUUAUUUUUUCUUUCUCCCUUCAUUUUUCGAUCUUUGGAACAUAAUUGUGAUUUUGGAGAUCUUUUGUCGUUUUAUUUCCAUUGAUAUUGAAAGUUGUGUCCUUCCAGUGUUCUGUUUGUUUUGUUCAAUUUCUUGUGAGGUUAUAGUAUUGUCAUUACGGCUGAAUGACUUUGUUGCUGCAAUUGUAUCUUGUACAAUUAUACUGUUGUGCUUCUUGCAUGUAGAUGUUUAAGUGGUUAAGUUCUUAGAAAAG
rnacentral:misc_RNA from 1 species